GACGAACGCUGGCGGCGUGCUUAACACAUGCAAGUCGAACGGAAAGGCCCUGCUUUUGUGGGGUGCUCGAGUGGCGAACGGGUGAGUAACACGUGAGUAACCUGCCCUUGACUUUGGGAUAACUUCAGGAAACUGGGGCUAAUACCGGAUAGGAGCUCCUGCUGCAUGGUGGGGGUUGGAAAGUUUCGGCGGUUGGGGAUGGACUCGCGGCUGAUCAGCUUGUUGGUGGGGGAGUGGCUUACCAAGGCUUUGACGGGUAGCCGGCCUGAGAGGGUGACCGGGCACAUUGGGACUGAGAUACGGCCCAGACUCCUACGGGAGGCAGCAGUGGGGAAUAUUGCACAAUGGGCGGAAGCCUGAUGCAGCAACGCCGCGUGCGGGAUGACGGCCUUCGGGCUGUAAACCGCUUUCGCCUGUGACGAAGCGUGAGUGACGGUAAUGGGUAAAGAAGCACCGGCUAACUACGUG
rnacentral:rRNA from 1 species